CGAUGUACCGAUCUUCUCCUUAGGCUUGAGGUAAAAGAAGGCUGGCUUGUCGGCUAAGAAAGCUUACCUUAGAAUUGAACUAUCCUUUCUUCCAAUUGAAAAGGUACUAGCGAGACUUACUUAGACAACUAGCCUAGACUAGCCUUCUUUUAGAAUAGAAGGGGAACUAGGUUAGGUCUGGUUUGUUUAUCCUUGUCUUCUACUUUCUUUUCUAGAAUCUGAAGGAGGUGCCAGUCUUUGAGGUCU
rnacentral:lncRNA from 1 species